rnacentral:rRNA from 1 species
UGCUGUUUCGCUGACGAGUGGCGGACGGGUGAGUAAUGUCUGGGAAACUGCCUGAUGGAGGGGGAUAACUACUGGAAACGGUAGCUAAUACCGCAUAAUGUCGCAAGACCAAAGAGGGGGACCUUCGGGCCUCUUGCCAUCGGAUGUGCCCAGAUGGGAUUAGCUAGUAGGUGGGGUAACGGCUCACCUAGGCGACGAUCCCUAGCUGGUCUGAGAGGAUGACCAGCCACACUGGAACUGAGACACGGUCCAGACUCCUACGGGAGGCAGCAGUGGGGAAUAUUGCACAAUGGGCGCAAGCCUGAUGCAGCCAUGCCGCGUGUAUGAAGAAGGCCUUCGGGUUGUAAAGUACUUUCAGCGGGGAGGAAGGGAGUAAAGUUAAUACCUUUGCUCAUUGACGUUACCCGCAGAAUAAGCACCGGCUAACUACGUGCCAGCAGCCGCGGUAAUACGUAGGGUGCGAGCGUUAAUCGGAAUUACUGGGCGUAAAGGGUGCGCAGGCGGUUGAGUAAGACAGAUGUGAAAUCCCCGAGCUUAACCCGGGAAUGGCAUAUGUGACUGCUCGACUAGAGUGUGUCAGAGGGAGGUGGAAUUCCACGUGUAGCAGUGAAAUGCGUAGAUAUGUGGAAGAACACCGAUGGCGAAGGCAGCCUCCUGGGACAUAACUGACGCUCAGGCACGAAAGCGUGAGGAGCAAACAGGAUUAGAUACCCUGGUAGUCCACGCCCUAGACGAUGUUAACU